CUCGCCGCUAAGGGCACUCACCUGGCCGGGAGGUGGCGCUGCUGUGGGCCGCGCUGAGGCUUCGCGUCGCGGGUUCGGGGCUCCCGGGGGUCCCUGGAGGCUCGAGAUGACUUCGUUCAGCGGUUCCUCCACGCCUUCUGUGGUGAUGAUUUGCAGCCUGAUAGCAUAUCAAGGAAACACAGGACUUAUAUCUGUAAAGUGGACUGUGACUGUCAGGGAAGAGGCAUCUUCAUCGCCAAACCUGAGGACAUAAAACCUGGGCAGGACAGAUAAGGAGGUGCUGUCCUUGUCCAAAGAACUUACAACACCUGCCGUGAUAAAAGGAUGGGUUUAAGGCUCUGGCUUCAAGUUUCUUCUACCAGCAAAUGAACAAAUACAACCUCAUUCAGCAUCUCACUCAGUGUCCCAUUCAGCUUGAUCUUCAUCCAUUGUCCAGAGCUUACUGCUUUGUAUUAGCUCUGCAGAACAGUAGCACAAAGCAAUAAUCAGUGCUUCAUCCUCACUUUUUUUACUUAAUUUUUAACACUGGUUAACUCUGUAACAUAGACUGAGUGGAUGAUCUCCAUUUCAUCAGGAACGAAUUUAGUCUACACCAUCAAUCCCAUUUUGAAGCAGCCACUGAUAUGAGCUGUUUCUCCUUGGGAGACAGAUGAGUCUGUGUUUCAAGGAAGGCCAUUCCAAUGCAAGGUAUCCGUAAAAUAUUAAUCUUUUAAUAUAUUUUAAUAGAAGCUUGGUUACGAACGAGGCUACUCACAUCAGUGAUGUUCUGUUUCCUAUAUGGAAAUACGGUACAAAUGACUGGAAAAACAUUUGGGUGUAAAGGAAAAUGGAGAAGGAUCAGUUCAGCAUUAUAACUAAAUGCAUGCUGAAUAACAGCCAUGUAGAGCAAACUUGAGGGACAGUUAUCAAGGUAAUUAGUAUCUCUUCCUUUUGUCCUUUAGUUCUGGAACCGAAUGUCCAGGCAGAACUAAAGCAAGGCAUGUUAGAAACACCAUAUGUACAAAGCACCACUGAUGGAUUGGGAAAAGAUUGUUAUGUCAGUAUGGUGGGUAGGGAAACUGAGGCAUGGAACGUGGUGUUAAUUGGCAGAAGACCACCUCUGUGUCUGGAUUUCUCACUAACAUCCUCUGUGACCCACAGAGUGAGGAACAGAACCAAAUUGUUUGUUCUCUCCACUGUGGUGUAGACAGUUUUGAUAGCUUCAACCUGGUCUUGGUUCCUGCUCUGACAAUCAAUGGCACAGGGCUGGAUCAGACAGCAAAGAUGCCCCUCAGUAGUGUCAGCCCUUACUGACUCUUAGGCAGUGGGAGAUCCCAUAACAUUCAUCUCUACAGCCUUGUUCUGACCAAUUAGAGUAUCGGUGUAGGGAUUAAAAUGGCCAGCACUGUAAUCAUAGUCAGGAAACAGCAAAUCAAAGCAGGAGAACUGGAAUUUUGAGGGUCCAUCAGAGUGCUGACCAGUGAGUUUGACCAGGAUAGCGGAUCCUUGAGAUCUGAGAACUGCACCUCUUUAUUUAAGAGGAGGAAAACCAGCCGAGGUUGUACUACAAAAAAAAAAUAAGCCACUGUCCACUUGCUCUGGCUGCAAAGCACAUUUUCAAUAAGUUUCUGCUCUAACAAGCUGCAUCAGUUUCAUCUCAGUAGAUCUGAUGGUUACUGAGCAGUGCUCAAUGUUCUGGAGGGUGCCAGGCACAUAAUUGUUUUUACAACAUUGUAAAAUGAAUCAGACUGAAAUUAGUGUCACUCAGCAGAACCACUUUCCUUCCUUUUAAAUUACUUAAUCCGAGGGUUAAUCAAAAAGAAAAUGAAGUUUCGACACUGCCCUUCAGCUAAGGGCAAGCACAGGUUCAGCUGCCUGCACUGCAUCUGCCUGUGAAGUGCUUUGCAUAUCAGCUCCUGCACUGAUACGCGUGCUGCUUCCCCACUGCUAUUUGAAGGGGGGAGGAUAGGGCUGUCUUGGGAGUGCUUCCCACACGGAAGUCAAAUGGGGAGAGGAAGGAAGCAAAAGCCAUUUUGUCAUCUAAUUCCUGAGAAAUGAGAGCUAGAGAAAUUAUAGGGAAAGGGGUUUUUCUGCAGGAAGGUCCUUCCGUGAGCACACAGCCUGUUCCAGCCAUUAGCUAUAAAGUACACAGGGGUUCUCAGCCCUCUUUGGUGCCUCUUGUCCUCAGGAGCUGAGAUGUGAGUGGUUAAUAUGGUUGGGAUAUGCCAUCAUGUAAGAACCUCAAAUAGCAUCUCCUCCAUUCCUCCGGUCUUUAUUGGCUCCUUGCUGAGACAAUCCCAGCUUCUGUUGUUCUGCCCACUUUGAACUGUGUAUUUUGGAAACAAUUCUAAUAAAUUUCCC
ensembl:lncRNA